UUACCAUACAUGUUAAUUGGCGAUGAAGC
rnacentral:sRNA from 1 species